rnacentral:rRNA from 1 species
UACGGAGGAGGCAAGCAUUGUCCGGAAUUAUUGGGCGUAAAGAACACGUAGGUGGUUUUUCAAGUCAUGUGUGAAAACUUUGGGCUUAACUCAAAGAUUGCAUAUGAUACUGAUUAACUAGAGUACAGUAGAGGAAAGUGGAAUUCCUGGUGUAGCGGUGAAAUGCGCAGAUAUCAGGAAGAACACCGGUGGCGAAAGCGGCUUUCUGGACUGUUACUGACGCUGAGGUGUGAAAGCUAGGGUAGCGAACAGGAUUAGAUACC